GAAGCCUAAGAAUACAGGAGUGGGUAGCCUAUCCUUUCUCCAGCAGAUCUUCCAAACCCAGGAAUCCAACUGGGGUCUCCUGCCUUGCAGGUGGAUUCAUUACCAACUGAGCUAUCAGGGAAGCACUUCAAAAAGUAGGAAACACUCUAUUUUGAAAGAGACAAAUAUAUGAAUAGAUAAAACAUGUCUAAUAUGGGUAUAGGCUUCAGCCCUGGGACACUCCAACAUUUAAAAAUCAAUCAGCAGAGAAACAGCCAGCCAAGAAGGGCUGAGAAGAAACCAUCAAUGAGGCUGAUUAUAAAGCAGGAGAAGCUGAGGAAGAAAAAGUUUUUAGAAGUAGCAAGUGGUUCACUCUGUCAAAUGCUGCCGAGACAUCAAAUAGCAUGAACAGAAAUCACGUGAUCACUAGAACUGGCCCCAAGGCAUCCUGGGAGGAAUCCUGUUGGAGCCGUUUUCAGCUGAGUGAGGACAGCAGUCAAAUUCAGAAGAGAUGAAAAGAGAAAGGGAGUUAGUAUCUGUUCCACAGCUGGCUGACUAUUUGGAAGGAUGAAGAAUAGUUAACUUACAGUUUGCCAGGCUGACUCCCUUGUAGCCAGCCAAUCCAAGUUUCUUCAGAGUUCUGGCAAGCUCACACCUCUCAAAUUUCUUGCCCUGGACAGCAACAGAAAAGAGCAGAAGCCCCAGAAUAAGGAGAGCCUUCAUGUUGACAGAAGCCAAAUGUCCAAGUUGACCAGAGCCACAGGGAAAAGCUGCAAAGGGUAAAAGGAAACACAUGUUUCCUCCUGUACAGUUUCUAGUGAUAAGGAUGGGACAGGGAAAGGCUGGGACACUCUACUCUCCCUGGAGACUGCAGUUGAGAUAUGGGAUAACCGACAACAGACCAGCAGAAGGCACUCUUGCAGGUGUUUGGAGUAUGGAUGAAAACAGGAGUAAAAAGUUUCUGCCCACCUUCCUGUAAGGCCCAGUGACCAAACAUGAUGUGCUAGAGAUGUAACACAGUAGAGAAGGUGAAGAGAUGUGGAAGAAGAGGUGCCUCAGUGAGGGGAAUCAACGACUGAAUGAAAAGCAUCUAUUCCACAGUAUGGCAGAGUUGAAAGACUGAUUACAUAUAGGCAAAUUGAUCAAAUCUUUGCAGAUGCUCAGAUACUUUUAAAGGUAUUACAGACAGUGGGAGCUUGGUUUCUCACUGUCAUGCUAUGGAGUUUCCAACAGAGGAAAGGAAAUUUACUUAAUAACUAAAAUUAACCUUGUAGUGUGAGAGUGGAAUAAGACGUGUUAUAUGAAUUCAGUUUAAAUAGAUAAAACUAUGUAAAUGUAUUCAUUCUCCAGCUCUAUCCAUAGAUGGAACCUGGGAACAGUGAUACUCUAGUGCCCAGUGCUUAGUUUUUUACAUAUCAUUGUCCUCUGUGAGGAAUAAGGGCUUUUUGGCAAAAUACCUGAUUCCAGGCUGAAGGAGGAAAAGUACAACGUGACUCUUAGAACAUCCUGUGAGAGAAAACAAACAGGUGGCCAGAGAAUAAUGGGGACAAUUCAAAAUGACAGACUUAGCUGGCAGAGACUCCUAUUGCCAAAUCAGGCAAAAUAUGAACAUCAAAAUAAAUGAUAGCAAUGAAUUAUGAUUCAUUGUAAUUGGAGUAAAGUAGGAAACCAGGGGUCCAUACUGAUAUAAUGUGUGUAUGCCUGCUCUUUGCAACCCCAGGGACUGCAGCCCACCAGGCUCCUCUGUCCUUGGAAUUAUCCAGGCAAGAAAACUGGAGCAUAUAGCCAGUUUCCUCUCCAGGGGAUCUUCCUGACCCAGGGAUCAAACCCAUGUCUCUGGCGUCUCCUGCAUUGGCAGGCAAAUUCUUUAUCACUGAGUCACUGGGGAAGCCCAUGCUGAUAUAAUAAGUGAAUAUAAAAAUUGAAACUUUGUUGUGGAAUAAAAUUCCUCAAAGUGCCUCCCCCUCUCCCAAAUACUUCACAGUGGAGGUGAUCUGCAGACAUCACCUAAAUCAAAUGAUCAAUGCAAACAUCAUCAGUAGUAGAACAUUUCAGAACUGCAUGUCACUUGAAAGGAUGCAUCGGGAAGAACACAGGAUCACAUCUGUGGUAUCCCUGCCAAAGGUGCAUAACCUAACCUACUCCAGAGAAUAUCAGAAAAACCUUAGGCCAUUUUACACAAUGACUGGUUGAGGUCUUCAAAAGGGUUAAAGUCAUAAAAGUCAAGGAAAAGCUGAAGUGAACUAGAUGGAAGGAAACUGAAAAACAUGACAGCCAAAUUAUAGCACUCGAUUCUGAAUUAGACCUUUUCAUUAAGAAGGAUUUAUGGGACACUUGAUGAAAUUGCAUGGGGUUCUCAAGGCAAGAAUACUGAAGUGGUUUGCCAUUCCCUUCUCCAGUGGACCACAUUGUGUCAGACCACACUGUGAGCGCACAAUUGCACUAUCUCACAUGCUAGUAAAGUAAUGCUCAAAAUUCUAAGCCAGGCUUCAGCAAUACGUGAACUGUGAACUUCCAGAUGUUCAAGCUGGUUUUAGAAAAGGCAGAGGAACCAGAGAUCAAA